rnacentral:rRNA from 1 species
CUGAUCUCAAAGUUAUCAGGUAGGAACUACCCGCUGAACUUUAAAGCAUAUCAAUAAAUGAUCCUUCCGCAG